rnacentral:lncRNA from 1 species
UAAGGCUGCUGAGGAGAGACACCUGGCACCACUAGAACUCAUACAUUCUGAUCUUUGUGAGAUGAAUGGUGUGUUGACAAAAGGUGGUAAGAGAUACUUCAUGACAUUGAUUGAUGAUGCGUCUAGAUUUUGCUAUGUAUACUUGCUAAAAACUAAAGAUGAGGCUUUAGACUACUUUAAAAUCUAUAAGGCUGAGGUUGAAAACCAACUAGAGAGAAAGAUCAAACGUCUUAGAUCAGAUCGUGGUGGCGAGUUCUUUCCCAAAGUCUUUGAUGAUUUCUGUUCAGAACAUGGCAUUAUUCAUGAGAGGACUCCUCCCUAUUCACCCGAGUCAAACGGGAUUGCUGAAAGGAAAAACCGUACGUUGACUAACCUGGUGAAUGCCAUGUUAGACACUUGUGGUUUAUCUAAGGCAUGGUGGGGGGAGGCAGUCCUGACUUCAUGUCAUGUUCUGAAUAGAAUUCCUAUGGGCAAAGAAGAGAAAACCCCUUAUGAGAAGUGGGUUGGGAGAAAACCAUCACUUUCAUACUUGCGCACUUGGGGGUGCAUGGCGAAAGUCAAUGUACCAAUUAAUAAAAAGCGCAAGCUUGGUCCAAGGACAGUGGAUUGUGUCUUUCUUGGAUAUGCUUCGUGUAGCAUAGCUUAUAGAUUUUUAGUAGUUAAAUCUGAAGUUCCUGAUGUGUAUGUUGAUACUAUUAUGGAAUCUCGUGAUGCUACUUUCUUUGAGCAUAUAUUUCCAAUGAAAGACAUUCAUAGCAAUUCUAGAUACUCUUCUGAGAUAAUUCCUGAACAUAAUACACCUAUUGAGAGUUUUGAACAACCACAUGAAAUUGUCCUAGAGGAGGAUGACAAUGAUGCUCCUAAAAGGAGCAAGAGACAAAGGGUUGAAAAAUCCUUUGGUGAUGAUUUCAUUGUGUACCUUGUGGACGAUACUCCUACUACCAUUGCAGAAGCAUUUGCAUCUCCAGAUGCAGAUGAUUGGAAAGAAGCAGUUCAUAAUGACAUGGACUCUAUUCUUUCAAAUGGUACAUGGGAAGUCACUGAUCGACCCUAUGGAUGCAAACCUGUGGGUUGUAAGUGGGUGUUUAAAAAGAAGCUCAAGCCUGAUGGUACAAUUGAAAAGUACAAGGCUAGGCUUGUGGCUAAAGGCUAUACUCAGAAAGAAGGAGAAGACUUUUUUGAUACUUACUCACCUGUUGCUAGAAUGACCACUAUUCGAGUACUACUUUCUUUGGCUGCCUCGUAUGGUCUCCUUAUUCAUCAUAUGGAUGUAAAGACAACUUUUCUUAAUGGAGAGCUGGACGAGGAAAUCUAUAUGGAACAGCCUGAUGGAUUUGUAGUAAAGGGUCAAGAAAGCAAGGUGUGCAAGUUAUUGAAAUCUCUGUAUGGUCUGAAGCAAGCACCAAAGCAGUGGCAUGAGAAGUUUGACACGACUCUAACGUCUGCAGGCUUUGCCAUUAAUGAGGCAGACAGGUGUGUAUAUUAUCGCUGUGGUGGGGGCGAAGGAGUUAUAUUGUGCUUAUAUGUUGAUGAUAUAUUGAUAUUUGGCACAAACAUUGAUGUGAUCAAUGAAGUCAAGUCUUUUCUAUCAAAGAGUUUUGAUAUGAAAGAUCUGGGAGAAGCUGAUGUGAUUCUAAACAUCAAGCUGAUUAAGGCAGAUGGUGGGAUUACUCUCUCGCAAUCUCACUAUGUUGAAAAGGUUUUGAAGCGAUUUGGCUUCUCUGAGUGCAAACCUUCUCCAACACCUUAUGAUCCCAGUGUGACACUGCGAAAGAACAAGAGAAUUGGUUUAGACCAAUUGAGAUACUCUCAGAUUGUCGGUUCACUCAUGUAUCUUGCUGGUGCAACAAGGCCCGAUAUCUCGUUUGCUGUGAGCAAAUUGAGCAGGUUCAUGUCAAACCCCGGGACUGAUCAUUGGCAUGCACUUGAGCGGGUUAUGCGCUACCUGCAAGGUACAAUGAGUUAUGGAAUUCACUAUUCUGGUCAGCAUGCAGUACUUGAAGGAUAUAGUGAUUCGAACUGGAUAUCUGAUGCAGACGAGCUUUAUGCCACCAGUGGUUAUGUCUUUACUAUUGGUGGAGGUGCGGUAUCAUGGAGGUCAUGCAAGCAGACCAUUUUGACGAGGUCAACCAUGGAAGCCGAGCUAGCUGCACUUGACACAGCAACCGUUGAGGCAGAAUGGUUGCGUGAACUCUUGAUGGACUUGCCGGUGGUUGAGAAACCAAUACCAGCUAUCCUUAUGAACUGUGACAAUCAGACAGUGAUUGCUAAAGUGACGAGUUCUAAGGAUAAUGGAAAGUCAUCAAGACAUGUCAAAAGACGAUUGAAGUCUGUCAGAAAGUUGAGAAACUCCGGAGUUAUAAGUGUGACUUAUAUUUCAACAGAUAAAAAUCUAGCAGAUCCUUUUACCAAGGGACUACCACGUAAUGUGAUAGAAAUCGCAUCGAGAGAGAUGGGUAUGAGACCUGAAUAAAGUUGCCAUGGUGGAAACCCGGUCUAUGUGAUCGGAGAUCCCGUGAAUUAGGUCCUGGGAAGAACAAGCCAUUGGUGAACUGAGGAGAGUAACCUUUGACCCUCUCUAAGUAAAGAUGCAAUACUCUCAAAUGCUGUAAGGCAGGUUGGCUUUGUGCCUUAAUGUGUUCUGUUGGCUUGUAUUAGCGAAGAUGUUGUCCUGCAGAACAUUCUUUGAAAGAACACACCUAUAUGAGUUAGACUGUCUAACGUCGCAGUCUAUGAGAUUUGGGUGAUCUCUAGUAAACUCAUGAAGAGACCUUGGAGUACGACGUAUAUGCUCCACCCGAGAAGGGGACUACUGGUAGCCAAGUACUGGUCAUGACUUCAAGUGAAACCUAUUCACGCAAAACUUGCAAUUCAAGGCAUAGUCCAUUGUCCAAGUUGUGGGUUGGUGUAGCUUGGAGUUCUAGGCGGAAGUUCAACUUAACAGUCUCUGCUGAAAAACUAGUAUAUUAAACAGUAGUGAACAGUGGCGAAAACUGCAGAUGGGCAUUUGAGAUCUGGUGGGGGAUUGUUAGGAUUUAUGGGCUUGGCCCAAUUAAGAAAUUCAAAUAAAUCCCAGAAAAUCUCAAAAGCCCAUGCAAGAGGAUGGCUAGAGGAUAGGUGGAACCAUUAGCACCAUAUUGCUAGCUCUAGUGGAGUAGAGCUAGCUUAAAUAUGGAAGCCACACUCACUCACCAAGUCAUGGAUGAGAGGAGAGAGUGUGGAGAGCCACACGCGCGCGCGCGCUCGCUCGCCUCGCCGGGGCGGGGCGGGGCGGGGCGAAGGGCGCGGGCGCACGACAUGCGCGUGAAUGGUCCGCCGAAAUCCGGCCCCUCGCCUUGCGGGGGCGCGACUACCUUUUGCCGUUUGAUUUUUUGGUUUCUUGGCUGUUACGCUUAUCCUAACCGAUCGCUAUAAAAUCUCAACUGAUUGCGAGAUUUUCGUGGGCGGAUAAGCACGGGGGUCGCGGACUCGGCCCUAUAAAAGGAGCCCGGCAGCCAGCCUCCAAAUCAUCCCAGAUCCCAGUUCGCUUUCGCCUCUCUUCAUAGCUGAGCCGCUUUUUAGUUCCCUUCGUCCCGACCGCAGAGGUGCAUCUGCGAUCAGGAGAGCAGGUCUACGGAACCCUUCGUCUUCUAGAUCCUGCACCGGGAGAGGGCGAAUAAGGUUUUUGGGAAGCGUCUUCACGCGACUGCUCGUGAUCUUCUGACCUCGUCGACCCUGUUGAUUCGCUACUUCGACAUCGUCGACCCUGCUGAUUCCGGCGCGCGCCAACAAUCAGUAAGUCUAAUCAGUACGCAUCAUCUGAUUUGGCUUUUAUUUCAGUUCUUCUGAUUUGGUCAUGAUUUAUAUUCGGAAUUUAAUUUGGAAUUUGUCUAAUUAUUCAACAAUCCAAAAACCUUAUAGACAAUUUCCUAGUUUUUCUAUGGCUGCUUUUGCCGACGCGCUGAAGCCAGAAAAGUUUAAUGGUAUGCACUUUAAGAGAUGGCAAGUCAAGGCCACACUCUGGCUUACUGCUAUGAAUGUCUUCCAUGUUAGUAAAGGCAGACCUGAGGGUCCACUGACUCCUGAACAGGAGAAAGAGUACGACCAUGCCAAUACUAUGUUCACGGGAGCCGUUCUUAGCGCCCUUGUUGACCGUCUGGUUGAUGCGAAUAUGCAGUACACAGACGGGAAAGAGUUGUGGGAUGCACUUACUACUAAGUAUGGUGCAUCAGAUGCUGGCAGUGACCUGUAUAUCAUGGAGAGCUUUCAUGAUUAUAAGAUGGUUGAUAGUCGCUCUAUUGUAGAGCAAGCUCAUGAAAUACAGUGUAUAGCCAAGGAGCUCGACCACCUUAAGGUAGUCCUUCCUGACCGAUUUGUGGCUGGGUGCAUUAUUGCAAAGUUGCCUUCUACAUGGAGGAACUUCGCCACAGCUCUGAAACAUAAGAGACAGGAGAUAUCAGUUGAAAAUCUGAUAGCGUCUCUGGAUGUUGAGGAGAAAGCUCGGGCUAAGGACACGGGAUCUAAAGGCGGCGAGGGCAACUCCAGCGCCAACAUGGUUCAAAGGAACCACAACAAGGGGAAAGGAAAGCCAAAAUCUAACAAGCCCAACAAAACUACCAACUUCAAGAAGAAGAAGAACAAGGCUGAAUUGACAUGUUUCGCAUGUGGCGAGGCGGGUCAUUUUGCCAAGGAUUGUCCCGAUCGAGCGGAUCGCCGUGGCAAAAAGGGCAAUGUCAACACAGUGGUCGCUAGCAAUGAGGAAGACAAAGGGUAUGAUAAUUUACCUUUCAUCUUCUCAGUAUUUCAAUCACCUAGCUGGUGGCUUGAUACUGGUGCUAAUGUUCAUGUGUGUUCUGACAUCAACUUGUUCUCUUCUUAUCAGGGCGCCCGGGAUUCUUCCGUGCUAAUGGGGAAUGGGUCACAUGCUUCUGUUCAUGGCACUGGCACGGUGGAUCUGAAGUUUACUUCGGGAAAGAUCGUGCAGCUGAAGAACGUGCAUCAUGUCCCUUCUAUACACAAGAAUCUCGUUAGCGGAACCCUUCUAUGUAGAGAUGGGUUCAAGGUAGUUUUGGAGUCCAAUAAAUUAGUUGUGUCCAAGUCUGGACAAUUUAUUGGUAAAGACUAUGAUUGCGGAGGCUUGUUCCACUUUUCUUUGUUAGAUUUCAAUAAUAAGUCUGUGAACCAUAUUUGUGCUAAUGUUGAUGAUCUUGCGAGUAUUUGGCAUUCUCGUUUGCGUCAUAUUAAUUUUGGCUCUAUGUCUCGGCUUGCAACCAUGAGUUUAAUUCCGAAUAUCACCAUAGUCAAAGGUUCUAAGUGCCAUAGUUGUGUGCAGUCGAAGCAACCUCGAAAGCCUCAUAAGGCUGCUGAGGAGAGACACCUGGCACCACUAGAACUCAUACAUUCUGAUCUUUGUGAGAUGAAUGGUGUGUUGACAAAAGGUGGUAAGAGAUACUUCAUGACAUUGAUUGAUGAUGCGUCUAGAUUUUGCUAUGUAUACUUGCUAAAAACUAAAGAUGAGGCUUUAGACUACUUUAAAAUCUAUAAGGCUGAGGUUGAAAACCAACUAGAGAGAAAGAUCAAACGUCUUAGAUCAGAUCGUGGUGGCGAGUUCUUUCCCAAAGUCUUUGAUGAUUUCUGUUCAGAACAUGGCAUUAUUCAUGAGAGGACUCCUCCCUAUUCACCCGAGUCAAACGGGAUUGCUGAAAGGAAAAACCGUACGUUGACUGACCUGGUGAAUGCCAUGUUAGACACUUGUGGUUUAUCUAAGGCAUGGUGGGGGGAGGCAGUCCUGACUUCAUGUCAUGUUCUGAAUAGAAUUCCUAUGGGCAAAGAAGAGAAAACCCCUUAUGAGAAGUGGGUUGGGAGAAAACCAUCACUUUCAUACUUGCGCACUUGGGGGUGCAUGGCAAAAGUCAAUGUACCAAUUAAUAAAAAGCGCAAGCUUGGUCCAAGGACAGUGGAUUGUGUCUUUCUUGGAUAUGCUUCGUGUAGCAUAGCUUAUAGAUUUUUAGUAGUUAAAUCUGAAGUUCCUGAUGUGUAUGUUGAUACUAUUAUGGAAUCUCGUGAUGCUACUUUCUUUGAGCAUAUAUUUCCAAUGAAAGACAUUCAUAGCAAUUCUAGAUACUCUUCUGAGAUAAUUCCUGAACAUAAUACACCUAUUGAGAGUUUUGAACAACCACAUGAAACUGUUCUAGAGGAGGAUGACAAUGAUGCUCCUAAAAGGAGCAAGAGACAAAGGGUUGAAAAAUCCUUUGGUGAUGAUUUCAUUGUGUACCUUGUGGACGAUACUCCUACUACCAUUGCAGAAGCAUUUGCAUCUCCAGAUGCAGAUGAUUGGAAAGAAGCAGUUCAUAAUGAGAUGGACUCUAUUCUUUCAAAUGGUACGUGGGAAGUCACUGAUCGACCCUAUGGAUGCAAACCUGUGGGUUGUAAGUGGGUGUUUAAAAAGAAGCUCAAGCCUGAUGGUACAAUUGAAAAGUACAAGGCUAGGCUUGUGGCUAAAGGCUAUACUCAGAAAGGAGAAGACUUUUUUGAUACUUACUCACCUGUUGAUAGAAUGACCACUAUUCGAGUACUACUUUCUUUGGCUGCCUCGUAUGGUCUCCUUGUUCAUCAUAUGGAUGUAAAGACAACUUUUCUUAAUGGAGAGCUGGACGAGAAAAUCUAUAUGGAACAGCCUGAUGGAUUUGUAGUAAAGGGUCAAGAAAGCAAGGUGUGCAAGUUAUUGAAAUCUCUGUAUGGUCUGAAGCAAGCACCAAAGCAGUGGCAUGAGAAGUUUGACACGACUCUAACGUCUGCAGGCUUUGCCAUUAAUGAGGCAGACAGGUGUGUAUAUUAUCGCUGUGGUGGGGGAGAAGGAGUUAUAUUGUGC